GGGCCCUUGCCCGGCAUGUUGGGGAGACACCCAGAACCCAAGCACCUGAGACAGGACCCCAGCAGCUCCACCAUGGACUUGGUGCCAAGCUGCGUUUUCCUCCUGAUCAUUUCUCAAGGUGUCCAGUGUGAGGUGCAGCUGGUGGAGUCUGGGGGAGGCCUGGUGCAGCCUGGGGGGUCUCUGAGACUCUCCUUUGCAGCCUCUGGAUUCACCUUCAGUAGCUAUGGGAUGAACUGGGUCCGCCAGGCUCCAGGGAAGGGUCUGGAGUGGGUCUCAUACAUUAAUAGUGGUGGUGGUAGCACAUACUAUGCCAACUCUGUGAAGGGCCGCUUCACCAUCUCCAGAGUCAAUGCCAAGAACAAGCUGUACCUGCAAAUGAGCAGCCGGAGAGCUGAGGACACGGCCGCGUAUUACUGUGCAAGAGACACAGUGAGGUUUUGCCUUAAAUGCAGCCCCAUGUCAUCCCCUCAUGCCCAUCUCCUGUGCCAGGCCUUCCUGAGACACCAGAGCCAGGGCUACUGA